AACGAACGCUGGCGGCAGGCUUAACACAUGCAAGUCGAACGCCCCGCAAGGGGAGUGGCAGACGGGUGAGUAACGCGUGGGAAUCUACCCAGUUCUACGGAACAACACAGGGAAACUUGUGCUAAUACCGUAUACGCCCCAAGGGGGAAAGAUUUAUCGGAAUUGGAUGAGCCCGCGUUGGAUUAGCUAGUUGGUGGGGUAACGGCUCACCAAGGCGACGAUCCAUAGCUGGUCUGAGAGGAUGAUCAGCCACACUGGGACUGAGACACGGCCCAGACUCCUACGGGAGGCAGCAGUGGGGAAUAUUGGACAAUGGGCGAAAGCCUGAUCCAGCCAUGCCGCGUGAGUGAUGAAGGCCUUAGGGUUGUAAAGCUCUUUCAGUGGGGAAGAUAAUGACGGUACCCACAGAAGAAGCCCCGGCUAACUCCGUG
rnacentral:rRNA from 1 species